CACACACACACACACACACACACACACACACACACAGGAGGUUCGCAUUAGGAAGAGCAGCUCAUCCCACUCAGCCGCUUAUUGCGUCAUGUAUUAUUGAAGGCAGCUCUUGUAUAAACACAACUCCAAUAAAUUGGGGUCUCAGUUUUUCGGAUUCAUUAAGGUUAAUGCAGUUUUAAUUAGUGCUUGAUUUGAAGCCUAUUAGAGGCAAUUUAUAAGUCCUUCUCGUGGACCUGAGAAAUGACGUUGCGUGGGAUUAAUAUGAUAAAAGGCACAAGUUGGAGCUGCGGUCCCUGCUGGGUUGAAGGGAUUCCUCUCGUUUCGCUGUAACGGCUUGUUUAUUUGCACAACUGCUUUCAGGCACAUUAAAACAAUCUAAUGAAUGAGCAGCUUUGGCUUCAGGGAUUGCUUCAUCCACCGCUUGGACAAAUGAAACUGAAGUGAUUAGUGCUGAUUAGAAGAAUGAAGAACAAAUGGAUUGAAACAGACAACAAGAUGUCCUUUAACCUUUCAGAGCAACUUUACCCUCCAGGCGCUCAGAGUUGUGAUGCUGCGGGCAGGAAUGAUCUCCAGUAGCAGUCAGUCUUACAGCAAAUCUGAAGAGGCCUCUGACUGAAGAGGGUCUGAUGACAGCCCAACAUGCUAACAGCUUAAUAUGCAGAGAGGCUCACAAUGGGAAUUCGCUGAAGAUCACUUUCCAGUUGGACGUGAUGAGCGGAGGAGCAGGAGGGCGACGCGUUCGCACGUCCCGCAGCCUCAUCUCUGUGUAACGAGCAGGUAAUUGAUGCCGGCCUCCUCUUCCUCCUCUUCCUCGUCUAACCCUGUGCAGCCACUAGAUGGAGCAUGAUAACCACAGAGAGGCUCUCCCGGUGGGACCCCGACCCCCGACCCCGCCCCGGAUCCGGUGGGUGCUGCGGCUCCCGGCGGAGGCUUCCAAGAGUGACCUUUGAUCCCGCAGCAUGUGUGGUAUGCUGAGCCGCCCGCGCGCCGCUCUGAUCCUGGGAAGCAAUCACCGAGCGCGCCGCUAUCAGAGGAAAAGGAGAAACACUCUAUAAGCCCGAGUGUGGAGGUGAGCGCCGAGCGAAAAGCAAAUGUGCAGGGAUGGAAAAAAUAACCAAGUGCAGCCAACCACGCAGAAAGCUGAUGGGCCAGAGCGGCGCGUGAUAAAGCCGUGGAGUAUCAGUCUUCCUCGCAGAAACAGCUGCUCCAGCUACAACAACAAACUUUAAGUGAGCCAAAACGAGACGGGCGAUCCAGAGUGCUGUGGGAAAGCCUGUAAAUGUUAUGUGUUUUGAAAAUGGUUCCGAUAAUCUCUCCCCUAAUCCCUUAAUUGGGAGUCAAUGUAGUCUCCUGCGAGCGCACAAAGCCGGAGCCGGAGAGGAUCUCUUAGAGCGAAGCGCCUACACCUGGGCGACGAGGCCGCCUUUCACUGCGCCGAGGACGCUUUCAGGAAAGUCCUUGGCUGUGAACGUUCCCAUGUUAAAAGCACUACCCAUUAAGGUACAUCUGAGAGAGAUGUAUUUCCGCACGCUGUUUGAAGAUUUCCCAUUUGCAUGAGAAAAAAAACGUGGGUCUGUGUAAAACUGUAACUUGUGAACUGAUCAAAAGCCAGAGGCCGUUCUGGAGCUGAAUGGCUUUCCCCCUUUGACACGAAAGAGGCUCUCUUGAGGCGCCUUCGCGGCGGUGGCCUUGGAGGUUAGCAAAAUGUCGCCCCCCACACCAAACGGGCUAUUCUCUGGAGUCCGGACAGCACUUGAGGAGAAAAGAGACGGUUUGCCGCUGCGGAUCAAGCCCCACUCACAUUCCAGAAGAGGCUUUUCCUCGUCCCACAGACGGCCUUUGGAAAGUGGAUGUGCAGCAGCUAAACACGCCAAACUAGGCUGGUUUUCAUAUGCUAAUAUUAUUGGUUAAAAGGGAUUUUAAAUGUAUAAGAAUGUUGUAUUGUGGUUAUCUUGUGCAAAUAUUACACGGUUAUUAA